rnacentral:misc_RNA from 1 species
CAAAAAUUAAAAAACAAAAAAAAAAUCAAUUAAACAUUGUUAGCUGGUAAAAUUUGCCAAGAACUUUUAUGAGAUCCUGGUUUUAAUUCCCCUUAUCAAAGCUAAAAAUGGAGAAAAAAAUUAUUCUUAUCAAUUGGUACUGUUAUGUUCAAUUGGAUCACAUCAGAUCGACUGAUUGAACUAUGCAAUUAAGUCAUUAAGAUUAUAAGUUUAAACCAAUUUGAGAUUCAAUAUAUAGAUAUAAUAAUGAAAAAUUAUUAUCUAAACUCGGUCCACCAUGAAUUUAAUAUACAAAUAUGUAAGACUCACUUGUUUAAUAGGUGCGCCGUGCCAUAUAUUUUGCAU